GAUGAACGCUGGCGGCGUGCCUAAUACAUGCAAGUCGAGCGAAUGGAUUGAGAGCUUGCUCUUAUGAAGUUAGCGGCGGACGGGUGAGUAACACGUGGGUAACCUGCCCAUAAGACUGGGAUAACUCCGGGAAACCGGGGCUAAUACCGGAUAACAUUUUGAACCGCAUGGUUCGAAAUUGAAAGGCGGCUUCGGCUGUCACUUAUGGAUGGACCCGCGUCGCAUUAGCUAGUUGGUGAGGUAACGGCUCACCAAGGCAACGAUGCGUAGCCGACCUGAGAGGGUGAUCGGCCACCCUGGGACGGAGACACGGCCCAUACACCUACGGGAGGCAGCAGUAGGGAAUCUUCCGCAAUGGACGAAAGUCUGACGGAGCAACGCCGCGUGAGUGAUGAAGGCUUCCGGGUCGUAAAACUCUGUUGUUAGGGAAGAACAAGUGCUAGUUGAAUAAGCUGGCACCUUGACGGUACCUAACCAGAAAGCCACGGCUAACUACGUGCCAGCCGCCGCAGUAA
rnacentral:rRNA from 1 species